rfam:Danio rerio chromosome 15, GRCz11 reference primary assembly.
CCUUCGAUAGCUCAGUUGGUAGAGCGGAGGACUGUAGGUGGCAUGUUGGCAAUCCUUAGGUCGCUGGUUUGACUCUGGCUCGAAGGA